UGAGGAAUAUUGGGCAAUGCCCGCAAGGGUGACCCAGCAACGCCGCGUGGAGGAUGAAUGUCGUAAGAUUGUAAACUCCUGUUAGAGGGGAAGAAUAGUACCGGUUGGACCGGUAUAUGACUGUACCCUCAGAGAAAGCCCCGGCUAACUACGUGCCAGCAGCCGCGGUAAUACGUAGGGGGCAAGCGUUGUCCGGAUUUACUGGGAGUAAAGGGCGCGCAGGCGGGAUAAAAAGUCAGUGGUGAAAUCCUACAGCUUAACUGUAGAACUGCCUUUGAUACUUUUAUUCUUGAGUUCGGGAGAGAUAGACGGAAUUCCAGGUGUAGUGGUGAAAUACGUAGAUAUCUGGAAGAACACCAGUUGCGAAGGCGGUCUCUUGGUCCGACACUGACGCUGAGGCGCGAAAGCGUGGGGAGCAAACA
rnacentral:rRNA from 1 species